UCAGAACGAACGCUGGCGGCGUGCUUAAUACAUGCAAGUCGUGCGAGAAAGUCACCUUCGGGUGGUGAGUAAAGCGGCGAACGGGUGAGUAACACGUAAGAAACCUGCCCCUAAAUCCGGAAUAACAUUGCUAACGCGGUGCUAAUACCGGAUGUGGUCUCCAGUUUGCAUGAACAGGAGAUUAAAGGUGACCUCUACUUGUAAGUUAUCGUUUAGGGAUGGUCUUGCGGACCAUUAGCUUGUUGGCGGGGUAACGGACCACCAAGGCUGCGAUGGUUAGCCGGCUUAAGAGGGUGAUCGGCCACAUUGGGACUGAGAUACGGCCCAGACUCCUACGGGAGGCAGCAGUAGGGAAUUUUGCGCAAUGGACGAAAGUCUGACGCAGCAACGCCGCGUGAGCGAUGAAGGUUUUCGGAUUGUAAAGCUCUGUUGAGUGGGAAGAAAACUCUCCGGGAUAAUACCCCGGAGACUUGACGGUACCACUCGAGGAAGCCCCGGCUAAAUACGUGCCAGCAGCCGCGGUAAUACGUAUGGGGCAAGCGUUGUUCGGAAUCACUGGGCGUAAAGGGAGUGUAGGCGGAAAGGUAAGUUAGAAGUGUAAUCCACGGGCUUAACCCGUGACUCGCUUUUAAUACUGCUUUUCUUGAGUAUGGGAGAGGGAGAUGGAAUUCCAGGUGUAGCGGUGGAAUGCGUAGAUAUCUGGAAGAACACCAGUAGCGAAGGCGGUCUCCUGGCCCAAUACUGACGCUGAGGCUCGAAAGCGUGGGGAGCGAACAGGAUUAGAUACCCUGGUAGUCCACGCCGUANACGAUGGACACUAGAUGUCGG
rnacentral:rRNA from 1 species